UACGGGGGGAGCAAGCGUUGUUCGGAUUUACUGGGCGUAAAGGGCGCGUAGGCGGUCAGCACAAGUCAGUUGUGAAAUCUCCGGGCUUAACUCGGAAAGGUCAACUGAUACUGUGCGACUAGAGUGCAGAAGGGGCAACUGGAAUUCUCGGUGUAGCGGUGAAAUGCGUAGAUAUCGAGAGGAACACCUGCGGCGAAGGCGGGUUGCUGGGCUGACACUGACGCUGGAGGCGCGAAAGCCAGGGGAGCGAAACGGGAUUAGAACCGU
rnacentral:rRNA from 1 species